ACACUUACGACGAUUCGUCCUUUUCGGACUCGGACUACUCCGGCGAUGAGUCCGAGUCCGAAUGGGGCGGACUGCGUAUCGAA